AAUAAAAAUUGUCAAAAAAAAACAGAAAAAAAAACUGGUACAACUAUUUCGUGUGAGAAAAAGGCUUGAGGUGAAUGUAGAGAAGAGAGCAUUGUAACUUUGUGGGAGUUGCUUAGAAUUCCGUAUUUACAGAAAUUGGCACACAAAGUACUAUAUGAUGGUGCUGAAGAUUUGUAUAUUUUAUGUCCACGGACCUUUGGUCUGGUGGGGGCUACCACAUGAGACUGAUUCAAAUAAAUAACAGGUAUUACUAUACAGACUGUUGCUGUUUAAUUGUUUUAAAUCACCAAGGCUUUUUACAUCACUUAUUGUCAGGAACAUACUGUUUUUUUUCUAUAAAAGAUUUAUGUUAACUGUAGUGUACUAACAGUUAACCAUUCAGUAUUUGACUACCUGUGUUUCAGAGAAUGAGGGUAGUUAAUUUGCAAAAACAGAUGACAAAUUGUGCAUUAUAAUUCCACCCUACUACCUUCUCUUAAUUCUCAAAUUUUAUACAUCUCUCCCAUGUUUGCAAUGCAGCUCAGGUCUGUCCCUGUCCUUCUGUUCAUAUACUGCACAUCAGUAUAUUUCCUAUGCUACGACAAUUACAUGGUCCUUUUACAGCUUCCUGUUAUCAGGGCUUUCAUCUUUUUUUCAGAUUCUCAUUGCCUCCUAACCACUGUUCUACUUUCUGUAUUGUUGUUCUGGCUUUAUACGUGUUUACAAAAUGUAAGUAUAAUAAAUACUGAGAUUAACUUUACAGUGUUCAAAAUACAACAUCCAGCACAUAAGGAAAAUUCUAUCAAGAUAAUACAUCCCAUAAUAAAUACAAUAAUAAAAAUGUAAAGCUAAUCAACCAUUAGCGCCUAUGUUAUGUGUAGUAUUAUCUAUCAUAUCAACAGAUCUAGUGUAACCAAGAAUCCAAGCUCUGUAGGAAAGGCAAACAAAAGUAAGACACAUACAUCUGAAAACUGAAGGAUGUUUAUUAUAUAAAAGGCUAUUAUGUCUAUAUAGCUGUUUCAUGUUAAAUCUGUUUUGUAGAUUAUUAGAACAAAUGAACUAUUACAAAUAAACAGUUUAAAAAAAAAAUAAAGACGCAGACAAGUUUACCGAAGAAAUCUCAAUGCUGAUGGGGUUUUUUUGUAAUUAAAACAGCUAACACUAAAACAUACUUAUGUUUUGUUCAUCCGAAUUAUAAGGAUGUUUAGAGGAACCUGUAUGCAAUUGGUGUCCCUAUUAGAAAUGUGGGUAAAAAAUAAACAAAAUAAGGACUUUGAAGGCUAUUCACUAAAAAACAAGACAUGAUCAAAUUAAUUGGUUAAUCUCUAACUCGACUGAGUUAGUCUAUUGUUUUAUAAACUUUCUUGUCAGCAAACCACAUCUCAUUGUUCAAUGAAUAAAUCUUUGAUGUGCACCUUCUCUCACGCAGGAAAUGAGUUUGAGUAUUUUGUAAUGUUUCACUAUAGUCAUAUUGGGAAUACUUCUAAUUCUCUUUUCACUAUGAGAAUAU